rnacentral:rRNA from 1 species
AGAGUUUGAUCAUGGCUCAGGAUGAACGCUGGCGGCGUGCUUAACACAUUCAAGUCGAACGGAGUUCAAUUGGGAGCUUGCUCCCGGCUGAACUUAGUGGCGGACGGGUGAGUAAUGCAUGAGCAACCUGCCUUCAGGAGGGGGAUAACAUCGGGAAACCGGUGCUAAUACCGCAUAGAGCAUUUUGCAGGCAUCUGCGAGAUGGGAAAGGAGCAAUCCGCCUGGAGAUGGGCUCAUGUCUGAUUAGAUAGUUGGUAGGGUAACGGCCUACCAAGUCUGCGAUCAGUAGCCGGACUGAGAGGUCGAACGGCCACAUUGGAACUGAGAUACGGUCCAGACUCCUACGGGAGGCAGCAGUGGGGAAUAUUGGGCAACGGGCGAAAGCCUGACCCAGCGACGCCGCGUGAGGGAAGAAGGUCUUCGGAUUGUAACCUUUGUCAACAGGGACGAAAACAAUGACGGUACCUGUGGAGGAGCCACGGCUAACUACGUGCCAGCAGCCGCGGUAAUACGUAGGUGGCGAGCGUUAUCCGGAUUUCUGGGUGUAA